CCUACGGGUGGCAGCAGUGGGGGAUAUUGCACAAUGGGGGGAACCCUGAUGCAGCGACGCCGCGUGGGUGAAGAAGCGCCUCGGCGCGUAAAGCUCUGUCAGCAGGGAAGAAAAUGACGGUACCUGAAGAAGAAGCCCCGGCUAACUACGUGCCAGCAGCCGCGGUAAUACGUAGGGGGCAAGCGUUAUCCGGAUUUGCUGGGUGUAACGGGGGCGCAGGCGGCGAUGCAAGCCAGGAGUGAAAGCCCGGGGCCCAACCCCGGGACGGCUCUUGGAACUGCGUGGCUGGAGUGCAGGAGGGGCAGGAGGAAUGUGUGGUGUAGCGGUGAAAUGCGUAGAUAUCAGGAGGAACACCGAUGGCGAAGGCGGCCUGCGGGACUGCAAUUGACGUUGAGGCCCGAAAGCGUGGGGAGCAAACAGGAUUAGAUACCCGAGUAGUC
rnacentral:rRNA from 1 species